rnacentral:rRNA from 1 species
AUUGAACGCUGGCGGCAUGCCUUACACAUGCAAGUCGAACGGUAACGCGGGGCAACCUGGCGACGAGUGGCGAACGGGUGAGUAAUGCAUCGGAACGUGCCUGGUAGUGGGGGAUAACUGCUCGAAAGAGCAGCUAAUACCGCAUACGACCUGAGGGUGAAAGGGGGGGAUCGCAAGACCUCUCGCUAUCAGAGCGGCCGAUGUCGGAUUAGCUAGUUGGUGGGGUAAAGGCCCACCAAGGCAACGAUCCGUAGCUGGUCUGAGAGGACGACCAGCCACACUGGGACUGAGACACGGCCCAGACGCCUACGGGAGGCAGCAGUGGGGAAUUUUGGACAAUGGACGCAAGUCUGAUCCAGCCAUGCCGCGUGCGGGAGGAAGGCCUUCGGGUUGUAAACCGCUUUUGUCAGGGAAGAAAUCUUCUGGGCUAAUACCCUGGGAGGAUGACGGUACCUGAAGAAUAAGCACCGGCUAACUACGUGCCAGCAGCCGCAGUAACAC